GAUGAAGAACGUAGCGAAAUGCGAUAAGUAAUGUGAAUUGCAGAAUUCAGUGAAUCAUUGAAUCUUUGAACGCACCUUGCGCCCUUUGGCUAUUCCGAAGGGCAUGCCUGUUUGAGUAUCAUGAACACCUCAACUCUCAUGGCUUGCCAUGAUGAGCUUGGACUUUUGGGGGUCUUGCUGGCCUGUGGUCAGCUCCUCUCAAAUGAAUUAGCCUGCCAGUGUUUGGUGGCAUCACAGGUGUGAUAACUAUCUACGCUUGUGGUUUUCCACCAGGUAACCUUCAGUGAUGAAGGUUCGCUGGGGCUCAUAAACGUCUCUCCUCAGUGAGGACACCUCUUUGAACGUUUGAUCUCAAAUCAGGUAGGACUACCCGCUGAACUUAAGCAUAUCAAUAAGCGGAGGA
rnacentral:misc_RNA from 1 species